GCACAGCCAGAGUGGGUUGAGAUGCUUUCUCCAAGUUCAGAGUGGUAGAUAGAUGGAUAGACAGACAGAUAGAUAGAUAGGUAGGUAGGUAGGUAGGUAGUCCUUGCAGAGGUAGAGAAAGGGAUACAGGCGUGGGUGAACAGAACAUAAUGCUGGAUCUCACAGUGAACACUUUAUUAUGAGAAGUUUGGAAACUGGCAAGAGCAUCUAUAGGAAGACACAACAGGCCCUCCGGGGCUGCCGUCCUCCCCUUAGGCUUCCAGGCUAAUAGGCUACGAUUCUGAGAGCUGUCCAGCCCUCCCAUCUCUCCCUCAUACCCAUGGUGAGGCUCCUGAAGGCUUACCUCAGCAGGCCCAGUUUCAUCCCUUCCCAUUUCAUGAAAACCCUUUUCAGUCAGGUAGGGGAAGGGGAGAAGUUAAGGCCUAACCCAAGUCCUGGGCUUUGACUACUACUCCACUUUAUUGCUAAUAUACCUCUGUUCCCAGGAGUACUGAAGUGCCCAGUGUUGUGAGGGAAAGACGGUGAGUUAAGGCAAUGCUUUUCCUAUGAGAAAUGGAAGUUUAUUUUUUAUACCAGUGUUACUGAGUGGUGAAUUACGUACUGACACAUUGAAACAGAAAGGAAUUGCAAAGUUCUAAUCUAAAAAGCAAUGGGCAGCUUUGUAGUUUAAUAGCAGUGGAGACCCUUAGACAUGUCAUGUCUGUGACAGUGUUUUGGAGCAUGAGCACAUGCUCUCUGCUGUAUUAUUUCAACAGCAUUACAGAAGAUAGUCAACUGGCCCAGCAAGGGUGAGAGGGACAGUGGCCUUGGGGGAAGCUGCAGAACAGAAGAGCACGAAUAGCCUUUCAGUGACCAUUCCCCUCUUGAUCAAGGGGGAGAGUGAGAGAGGGGAAUGGCAGGCAGUCUGCUAACUAGCACUUUAAUUCACUUUAGUCCUGGAAGUGGGGUGAAAAGUUUAAAUGUAGUAAAGGAACGGGACUUUUCUGGUGCUAUCUAGAGAAACGAAGAUGGGAUGAAUAAAGCUCCUUUUAGAGCUUAUUCUAGAAUGUCAGCAUGGCGCUGGCUCUCAACCAUGCUGACUUAAACUCUGACAGGUUUACAGCAGAGGAUUUGUUUGCAUUUGCAGCAGGUGCCUGUUUUGUCUGCUGAGUUUACUUUCCUUCCUAAUGAUACUAGGACUCACUGGAGUGGGGUUUUAUAAAUUGUGAAUAGAUGGGACUGCAAAGUGAAAAGCCCAUACAGAGCAAACAUAUGUAAUUGACGUUGUAUCUGGGUCAAUUAAGCAAGGAUAUAUAAAAGUUAGGCAAACCCAAAGUUUACUUUCCUUGCCCAUCAGAAAUGCCUUCAGCCAUCAGAAAUGGGGGAUUCUGUCCUCCUGAACAUGAACUAGCAUGAGUGGCUACCAGGCUUCGGGAUAGGUAAACAAAACCAACUAAACCAACUUCCUUUAUUUGCCCAAAACUUGUUGGAUAAAUUUUUGUAUAAGUCUGGAAUAUAAUCCUUCCUGAAAAAAAAAAUCAUGGUAACCAAGGAAAUAUGCUUUCCUAGUUUUUUUUAAACAUAGUGUCCCUGCUGCCUUAAAUGUAAAAACCUAUUUUGAGUAAUAACCCCAGCCUAAGAGUUAUAGCAAUAAAUGAACCCGAAUCUAUUUUUCUUUCAAGUCUUUACCUCAUGUGACAAAGUCAGAAGGAUAAUUGGUAAGUUUUGCUCUGGGUACUACUGCAAACCGAUGUAUCCUUUCUCUGUGUCUUCAAUGGAGUAUUAUUUACAGACCUGAAGGAAGCUGGGCUUAACCCCAAGGCUAAGUGUAAAUGUUUCUUGAAUUGAUUCUUUCUGUGGUACAAGUUAACACCUGUGUAUAUCAUAUCUGUAUAUAUCUGAACCAAGUUAUGUGCAGAGGUUGAUAAUAACUAUAUUUACAAAAAAUUUUUACAAUUAAACUUCACAUUUUAACAUG
rnacentral:lncRNA from 1 species